rfam:Procavia capensis cont1.141838, whole genome shotgun sequence.
AGGCUAACAGGGAUCACAGCAAUAAAAGUGGGUAACCUCAGCAAAGGCAUGUGAGGAAAGUAGGUCAAACUUAAUGCUGAACCAGAGAGAACAAGCAGAUGGGUUUUUCUGACAAAAAC